CAGUAAAAUAGUUUCAACCAUUUACAAUUUACUUAGCGCUAGACGUUUAACUUCCUGCAUUUCAAUUUCGUUGGUUUCAAGAUAUUGUUGCAGUAAUGGUCGUCGAACUAAUUUCUUGGUAGUAAGGAGUGAAUCCAGAGUGUUCCCAGAGUUGCAUGUAAAAAAUACUUCGAAUAAUAAAGGAAGGCCUAUAUAUAGAUGAUUCGUCUACAUCUAUACUAUUACUUACAUCGCAGAAAUUGAAAGUAAACUGAUAUUUAUAGAACUGGAAAGUAAACUCAUAUUUAUAGAACUGGAAAGAAAAUGGAUCAACUGACUCAUCUGAUGCUAAGUGAUACUGAAUAUUGUUGUUUACUCUGAAAUCGCUUGUGCGAUGUGACGGCUGUAUGUGUGACAUAUAUUGCAGUAAUUCAGGUUUUUUACCAAUCG